AUGUGAGGUAGGACAUAUGUUUUUAUUCUCCCAUUUGACUGAAGAUGGAAUGGAAGCAGAGAAGUGAAAUGAUUUUCCAAAGUUGUACCUAAAGCGAAUCAGCGUGAGAACCCACUUGGACCCAGAGCCAUGCCCCCUUAUCUUCAAUUCAGUACCCUUUUCAUGGACUUUGGAGGAAGCAGUGAUAUUUCAGAGUCCUUCUUUAAAACAAAGGUUCUAAGGAAAUAGCUGCUUGGUCAAGGAACAUUUGAUGUGAGUUUCCAUCUUUGUUAAAUGAAUGAUGCCUUUCUAAUUUCUCUCUUACUCAUACAAGUUCUUUCCUUCCCUAUCUCAGUUAUUUCCUUUACAGUCAUAAAUUGAAGUAUCACUUCUAUGGAACUAAUAGAGAAACCUUCCUAGAAUCCGUUUUUGAAAAAUGGCUGGCUUGCAAGAACGUUUUCAUCAAAUAAUUUUAACUCUUUUUGUCAAGAGAUGUAAGCAAAUGUGUGAAAUUGAUCAAGAGAAGUGAAAAGCUCUGUACAGUCCAAUAGAAGUUAGCAAUUGGCAAAUUCGCUCAAGGUCAGAUUUUAAAAACAGAAUUCAGAACCAUGGCACUCAGAAGUGAUUUGUAAUUUCAUGAGUAGAGACGUCCUGAUAUUGCAUAAGGGAUGUUUUCCUUUUCUUAAGAGCAUCCCUUUGCUAUAAGUAUUUCUAAGGUUGGGAGUAAGUGAGCGUGGUGUGGCAUUACUGUCUUUGUAUUAUUCACAGACUAUUUGUUGAGAAUACAUAAUAGGCCACUUAACUGAGUAGCACAUGGGUGAUGCUAAUGGCCAUUAUUGCCUUGGGCUACUCAAUCUAUAGUCUUAACUAAACCAUGGCUAAUAGGUUUACUUUUCAAAUUGCAGUAUAAUAAAUUCCCAAAUAACAGACCCAUAUUUUCAUUUCUCAGAGGUCUGUGAGGAUGACAUGUAUGUGAAUUUUGGCUUAACACAAUAUCUCUGUGAUCCUUUUUGGGAAACAUGAUUUCUUAAAGGAAAAGCAUAUACUUAGAGUACAUUUCUGUACAAACCCAUUUAAACAUCUGGAUUGAGUGGAUGGCGGUGGAUGGUACAAAUGACAUGUUUAUUUUGGCCGUUUUCCUUGCUGCUGGUGGCUAUGGAAUAAUGAUUUUCAGUGUUUGGCUUAGAUUAUUAAGAGGAUCAGAAAAGGUUAUCAUAUUUUAAACAAAACCUGGGAUUAGGGGUGCUGCUACCAGAUGGAAGUGCUGGCCAGUGAUUAUACAGUGGUCCAGAUGAAAAGUAGUAAAUCAGGCACUUGUAGGUUUACCCAAAAUAAGUGAUAAGUAUGCUUAUAUUUGCAAAUUAAAAUAGAAAGUCAACUUUUUAUUCUAACAACUAGGCUUAAAACAUUUAAUAGUGAAAUAAAUAAAGCUGUCUGGAAAGGAGAGCCAAUUCCUACAGCUUCAGUUGUGAACACCGUCCCUACUGGACUGAGUUUACCCAGCCAGAACUGCCGGUGUCCCACUGCAGGGGCAGGGACUAGGUCUUCUUCUCGGAGGGAGAGGCAGUGUUUCCAGAAUUUGUAGGCUCAUAAGAAUCACCUGGGACACUUGUGAAACAUACCGAUCUGAAGGCCUUACCCCAUACCCGAUGAGUUAGAAUCUCCAGGAAAGGAGCUUGGGGUAUUUGUGCCCCAGCAAGCUUGAGAACACAGCUAGGAGGGAUCUAUCUAGAGAACAAUUUCUUUAUGAUAGAGACAAGGUCAUUUAAAGUCACAAUGAGAUACCACCUCACACCUAUUGGGAUGGCUAUUAUUCAAUAAAACAAAAUAUAACAAUUGUUUCUGAAGAUGUGGAGAAAUUGGAACCCUUGUAUACUGUGGGUGGGAAUGUAAAAUGGAUAGCCGCUGUGGAAAACAGUAUGAAGAUUCCUCAAUAAAUUAAAAUAGAACUGCCAUAUCAUCCAACUAUCCCAUUUCUGGGCAUAUAUCCAAAAGAAUAGAAAUCAGGAUCUCGCAGAAGUAUCUGUACUCCCGUGUUCAUUGCAGUAUUAUUCACAAUAGCCAAGAUAUGGAGACACCUAAAUAUCUAUCAGUAGAUGAGUGGAUAAAGAAAAUGUGGUAUAUACAUACAGUAGAAUAUUAUUCAGCCAUAGGAAAUAAGGAAAUCCUGUUAUUGUGACAAUAUGGACACACAUGGAGAACAUUAUGCUGAGUGAAAUAAACUAGUGACAAAA
ensembl:lncRNA